AAAAAAAAAAGGUCUGUACUUAAUAAUAAAUUACUGAAAAAAUAAUUGUAAAAACCCAAAUCCCAAUAUAACCCCCUUCCAUCUUGGAACAUAAUUCACAUCCCCCCCUUCCCCUUCCCUUCAUCUCCAAAAAAAAAAAAAAAAAACUCUCAACUUUCUCCAUUUUCAUUUCUUGAUCCCCCCCCCAAAAAAAAUCAUCAAAAAAUGAGAAUUCGAAAACCCAUUCCUAAUUCCCCUUCAUCAUCAUCAUCAUCUUCUUCUUCAUCUUCCUUAUUCACUUUCUCUUCCUUAACCGACAAUUCUUUAGCAUCAUCCAUCGACUCAUCUUCCUCAACUUCAUCAUCAACUUCUUCUUCCAUCACCCACAGAUGUCAAGGCCUUGAUCUGUUAGUCAAGGCCAUUCAUCAAGUUACUGAUGGCUCCAUUGUGGGUGUCCCUUACAUUCAGAAAAGAGUAAUUACAAGAAGAAGGAGAAGAGUUUUGAGCUUUGAGAGUUUCUUUUUAAAAGAUGGAUUGUUGAAUAAAAGGCAACAAAGAAAGAGAUUGAAGACUGUUCCGACUAAGUAUCAAGAUUCUGAAUUGAUUCAGUCGUUGAAGAUGAAACCGAAAAGCCGGAGACUUCAGAGAUCUGUUAAGAUUUGUGAAGAGUCUUAGAUCAUUCUUGUUCUAUAUAGUUUUUUUCUUUUUUUGGUUGAUGGGUAUUUUGGGUAUUUUUGGUAUUUUUUUCCUGUUUUAUGGAGUUGUAAUGGAGUAUGUGAUAGUGUAUUUUUGAUUAAUGAGGAAAUGGAGAAAAUUUGAAAAUUUUUGGUUUUCAGAUUUUGAUCUGAAUUUUAUGGAUCCUUUGGAUUUUGUAGUAGUUGGUGAAAUUUUUGUACUUCUACUAGAUUAUGGAUUUAUGAAAUUGGUUGGUAUUUCAAGAUGAGAUUUUGAAAGAUUUUCUUGAUUAUUUGGUCUAUGGUUUUGAGGAAUUUUCUAAUUGUGUUCAGUUUAGCUCAGAAAGUUCAUGAUUGAUUUUGGUGUCUUCUGUGUAGAGGAGAAUUGAGCUGAAGAUGUUGAUCUUAUCAAUAAUGAGCAAUUUCAAACUUUUGUGAGCCCAUGCUUCUAUAGUAUAAUUCUGGAUUUGAAUCUUGAUUGUCAAAAAUUUGCAGUGGUAUCCUUUAUUCUGAUUAAUUUGGAUGAUUUAGGAUGAUGCAGUUUGUCGAUCUUGCUUAGUUUACUGUUUCUCCUUCAUUGAUCUUGGAUGAUGAAUCUUGAUAAUGGCAGAUGUUGUUUCUAAUAGGUGAGGUGGUGAAUUGGUUUAGCUACAUGGUAAUCCUUUAAAUUUGAUUUAGGUGUGAUUUGGGAAAGUUUAAGCUGACGCUAACUCUCGUAUUUGAAUUUCUAAAGCUUUUACAAUCUCAGAUUCUAGCAAUGGAACAACUGCCAUUAUCAAGAUUCAUCAUCCAAGAUCAAUGAAGGAGAAACAGUAAACUAAGCAAGAUCGACAAACUGCAUCAUCCUAAAUCAUCCAAAUUAAUCAGAAUAAAGGAUCCCCUUUUGCUUAAUAUAAUGAGAGUGUCAUUUGUAUGUUAUCAAAUAUGUUAAAGGAGCUUAAUAUAGAACAGGUUUGAGGAAUGAGUCACGAGCUUAAGCAGUUGCUUCUGGCAAAACUAAUCACCCCUGCACAUGUUUUUCGUAUAUGAUGGUGUUGUUUGGGCCAGCUUGAGUGCAACUCGACUAGUCCACUGCCUGCUACCUCCUACAGGUACCAGAUAACUGACUCUAUAUACCAAAAAUGUAACAUUUUUUUGUACUUGCUGGGAAUAGAACUGUCAUAGUGGUCUUCAAUGAUUUUUCAUCCCGCUUCAUUGACUACAAGGCCACCAUCUUUGGGUGGGGGCAAUUGUAAGCAAUUGUCUUCUUACUUCUGUUUCUUUUGUUUCCCUUUGGCAAGCCUUUGUCAAAGUGAACACAUUAUAAAACCCUCAAAAUGAGAAUUUGAAAACCCAUUCCAAAUUCCCCUUCAUCGUCUUCUUCUUCUUCUUCCUUAUGCACUUUCUCUUCCUUAACCGACAACUCCUUAGCAUCAUCCAUCGACUCAGCUUCCUCAAUUUCAUCAAUUUCUUCUUCCAUCACCCCUCGUUGUCAAGGCCUUGAUCUGUUAGUCAAGGCCAUUCAUCAAGUAACUGAUGGCUCUGUUGUGGGUGUUCCUUACAUUCAGAAAGGAGUCAUUACAAGAUGAAGGAGAAGAGUUUUGAGCUUCGAAAAUUUCUGUUUAGCAGAUGGGUUGUUGAAAGGCAACAAAGCAAGAGAUUGAAGACUGUUCCGACAAAGUAUCUAGAUUCUGAAUUGAUUCAGUCGUUGAAAAUGAAACCGAAAAGACGGAGACUUCAGAGAUCUGCUAAGAUUUGUGAAGAGUCUUAGAUGACCUUGUUCUAUAUAGUAUCUUUCAAAAAAUAUUUCUUUUGGGUUGAUGGUAUUUUUUCCUGUUUUAUGGAGUUGUAAUGGAGUAUGUGAUAGUGUUUUUUUGAUUAAUGAGGAAAUGGAGAAAAUUUGAAAGUUCUUUGGUUUUCAGAUUUUGAUCUGAAUUGUGGAUCCUUUGGAUUUUGUAAUAGUUGGUGAAAUUUUUGUAGUUCUACUAGAUUUUGGAUUUAUGAAAUUGGUUAGUAUUUCUAGCUGAGAUUGAUUUUGAAAGAUUUCUUGAUUGUUUGGUCUAUGGCUUUAAGGAAUUUUCUAAUUGUUCACGUUAGCUCAAAAAGUUCAUGAUUGAUUUUGUUGUAUUCUGUGUAGAGGAGGAUUGAGCUGGAGAUGUUGAUCUUAUUAAGAGUGAACAAGUUCAAACUUUCUGAGCUCAUUUCCCUAUGGUAUAAUUGUAGAUUUUGAAUCUUGAUUGUCAAAAAUUUGCAGUGGGAUCCUUUAUCCUGAUUAAUUUGGAUGAUUUAGGAUGAUGCAGUUUGUCAAUCUUGUUUAUUUUUAGCUUGCUUAGUUUACUGUUUUGCUUCUGUUAAUCUUGGGUGAUGAUGAUUGAAAAUGGCAGAUGUCGUUUAUAAUAGGUGAGCUGGUGAAUUAGUUUAGCAUUAGGAUAUCAUUCGAAUUUGAUUCAUGUGUGAUUUCGAAAAGUUUAAGCUGAGACUAAAUUCACGGUAAACUCUUGGUACUUGGAUUUUUGAAGCUUUACAUUCCGAAUUUCUAGAAACGGAACAACUGUUUUUUGCUAGUAUAUAAAGAGUGUUAUUUCUUAAUUUUCAAAUAUGUUAGAGGGAGCUCAAGAUAGAACAGGUUUGGGGGGUCAUGAGCUGAAGCAGCUGCUCUGGCAAAUUAAUCACCUAUUUAUGACUAAGCACAUGUUUUCAUAUUAUGGUGAUGUUUUGGACCUUGCGCGCAGCUCAACUAGUCCACCACCUACUACCUCCUACAGGUACUAGAUAACUGACUAUAUAAUAACAAGAUGUAAAGACAUUUUUUGUACUUGCUUGGAAUUGAACUCUCAUAAUGGUCUCCCUUGACCACUAGGCCACCACCUUUGGGUGCACACAGUUGUAAGCACUUUUCUUCCUUCUUUCUCCUGUUCCUUUUGUUUCCCUUUGGCAAGCCUUUGUCGAGCUGAACAUUUUUUGAAAAGUUUUCAGUUAAGAAUGGCUUAGAAGUCAGGAUAGUGGGAAGCUUCUUGGCCCUGGAAGAUGACAUGGACGACAAAAGCUCCUGUUAAGGUAGCUUACUAUCUAUGUCCAAAAACUCAGGAAUCUGUUGAGCACCCUUUUUCUCCGGUACAUAUUUGCCAGACAAAGUUGGGAUCUUUUUCUAAGUAUUAGAGGUAUACUUGUGUGAUGCCUUGUAAUGUAAAGGGAGGUUAAUGGGAAGUUGCUAGUAGCAGGUGGUUCCUUUAGAGUUAAAGCAGGUAUGCAGGACUGUUCCAUCAUUGUGCAUUUUCUGAAGGGCAAAGAAGUCUUAUUUCUAGAACUAAACUUGAUGCUUACAAAAUUUGUACUUGUGAUGUAAAAGAGUCUACUAGUGAGUCCAGUGUCAAAAAAAGAGUCUACUUGGCGAGUCUAAAUCAGUAUAUGGAUUUCUUACAUCUGUUAGGAAGGAGAGUGUAAUCAGCUGCCUGUUCUGAGCUUUGCUUUUGUGCCCUUUUCUUGGCAUGUUCUAAGUAUGUCUCUUCUGUGGUAUAAAUCUUGAUUUCUACUCUUGAAUAUCACAAACUUGCUGUUGGGAUUCUGAUUAAUCUGGAUGGAUUUAGGGUGAUGCAGCUUGCCACUCUUACUUAUUUGUAGCUUGCUUAGUUUACUGUUUCCUCCCUUGAUCUUGGAUGAUGAAUUUUUGAUAACAUCCAGUCUAGCCCACUUUCAUUAAAAUUGACGGGCUUCAAUGUGAAUCAAGAAGAACUUAUGAUGAAAGAAAAACAUAAGAACGAGCCCGAGAAUUAUGGAGAAGCAUUGGCGAAGUGCUGUACAUGUUUCACGAUUCAAGUCCAAGUCCAAACGGAAGAAGAUUGGGCCAUAUGAGAUUUGAUUAAAUUUGAGAACUUUUUCUUAUUUUUUAGGGAUUUAUUUUUGAUAUUAUUUUCCUAGUUUAAAGUUUCCUAAAUUUAUUUAUUUUCAUAAAAGUAGAAUUCGAAUCCCAUGCUAUUUGGGAUAAGAUUUUAUGAAUUUUGUUAUUUUCAAUCAGAUAAUAUUAUUAUUAAUUAAGAGUUUUUCGUAUUUACACCUUUGUGUGUGGCUACUUGGGAUUUAUCUUGCAACCUUAUAAAAACGAUUCUUUAGAAGUUAAGAUUAAUUCUUAACUUGAUAUCUUUGGUUUCUAUUAAAGUUAAUUAAAGAAGGUGAUUAGUCUUAUACUAAUUGUUGUCUUUAAUUUUUUCAAUAUAUCUUGUCUUUAAUCUUAGUAUUUUUCGUUUCCACAUUAUUUUCUUAUUUAUUAAUGUAACCUGAUUCUUAUCAAUUUUGAUAAUGGCAGAUGUUGUGUUUUAAAUUCUUAUUGGUAAAGCUAGUGAAUUAGUUGGAUUAAUAUCAACCACAUUGUACCAAGAAUCUUAAAUUUAUCUUGAACCCACAUGAGCAACACACUUUUAAGCUUUCGUUGCUGUAGUCGAACUGACUACACAUGUUAAAAUUCUUCAUAACAUUCAAUAAGCAUUCUCAAUAAAAGAGAUUGUACGUACCAAUUGGAGCCGAGUUCUUGGAAUUGUAAUAAUUUAGCAACAAAAUCUUGUUUGUACUCAAUUUAACUAGGUACUGGGUUGUUCUUUGUGGGCUUCUGCUUAGCCCAAUUAAAGGCAUCAUACUGGGCUCCCACAUGUGCCCAACAUUUUCGAAGUUACUGCCCACCAUAACAUCAGCCGUAGCCCAAAAAAACUUCGGCGCUACUUCUUCACUUUGCUUCUCUACUUGCACCAUUGGUGGCUAAAUCCCCAACCAAAAGAAUAUCAAAACCAGUAUUUUAAAAGGCAAAGCUCGCCCCGGGAAAAGGUGUAUCUCUGAGGUAUUGUAGAGAAGCAAAAGUAUCGAACGGAAAACACUCCAAAAUUUGAGGCAUUCGCCUAAGCAUUGGGGCUUUAGCCUAAAAUGAGGAGUAAGCCUAUAAAUUUUACAAAAUAAAAUGAUUCUUUCCUAUUUAAAUCUCUAAUUUAAAUUUAAUACCAAAAUAUACGAUUGGUAAAUAUUUAAAUAUUCAAAUUAAAAGUAAAAGAAAUAAUUAAAAGUUAUAUUUUUAAAUAUAUUUGUCGAUGGAUGUCGACAUGAUUCUACUCAAGAAGAAGUAGCGAUUUGCUGUUGAAGUAAAAGAAAAAAAAAACAAAAGAUGUAACAAUAACAUGAGUGGUUUGCUGAACUUUACAAAUUGAUCCAAAAUGAACAUGGGGUAUCUCACGUGUUAAUUUGGGUAUUUCUAUAUUAUUGUUUGUUUGUUUUUUGGAUUCAAAGACGUAUUAUUUAGAACAACCACAGAAUAAGCAUAUACUCAUAUAUCCCAAAGCCAAUAUAUACUAUAAAUAACAAAUAAGUACAAGUUUGUCUUUAAUAUCGUUAACCGUUACGAAUGAAUGGAAAGACCGCAAAUUAUGCUUAUCCUUAAGCAAUUCCCAUUAAACUCUUCCUAAACCUUAGUGCAUGCCAUUUCCCCCUCCUAAUUUACAAUAUUAAUAAAGCCAUUAAUUUUGUCAUUAACCUUUAAAAGCAAGCACAAGCAUCAUCAACUCUUCUCUUUCUUGUUCAUCCCACACAUUUUUUAACGGCUUGCCAAGGCGGUCGAUUUUGUAAAACCGCCAUGGCAGCCUAUUCUAUUGUUCAUUAGUAGUCUUCGUCAGAAAUCUGAUUAUCCUGAUCGAUCGAAUAAUCUAAUCUGCAUUAUCAUUGUUAUUGUUGCUGUGAAAAUUAACUUUUCUCUCGUUGCUCGUUUAUUAUUAUUGUUGUUCGGGAGUUCUCUUGACAUACAUACAUACGUGUGACAGAUCGAGUCAAAUCUUGAUCUGAAUAAAUAUUCGACAUUAUAUUAUGGAGGAUGUUAUACAUACCGAUCACACGAACCAAGAGGAGAAACAUCUGACAUCAUCAUCGUCGAGUGAUUUAUCAGAUCAAUGCGACGAAUUACAACGUUUAGAGGACGCACCGCCCUUUUGGAGGAACCCUAAUAAAAGGUUAUCGAAGCAACUUUCGCUGUGUGAGAUUCCACGUGACAUUGCGUGGGAAAAACGACGCCGUCAAUUUCUCCAUCAAGAGAGGAAAAAGAAUGUUAUUGGGAAUAAUAAUAAUAGUACCUCUCAAGAGCUUGAAGAUUUAACAGAUGAAGAUUUGAAUGAGCUUAAAGGUUGCAUAGAAUUAGGAUUUGGAUUCAAUGAAGAAGAAGGGCAGAGGUUAUGUAACACGUUACCCGCGCUUGAUCUUUAUUUCGCAGUGAAUCGGCAGUAUUUAACGAGCCCAAUAUCUUCACCUGGUAGCAAAGGCUCAGUGUCAUCUCCAGCUUCCUUGAAUUCCCUUGGGGGAAGGUCAUCAUCGUUUGGGAGUCCUAGGAGUGAUCAUGUUGAUGCAGCAUGGAAGAUUUGUAGCCCAGGUAUAUAUAUAUAUUCUUUUGUUUAGACCUAAAACCAGUUAAUUAAUACUACUUAUAAUCAUGAAAUGGACGUCAAAGUUUCCUUUGAUAUCAUGAUAAAUUAUGUAAUUAUUUCAUCUUUAGAAAAACGUAACGUGUGGUGUAUGCAUUAGCUUUUUUCAUGCAUAACUAGAUUUAGGUCGUGCUUCUACUUAAUGAAGUUGAGCGUUGAGGUUAUACUUAACGCAGAGGCGGCGAGGGCGGGCCAAUAGCUACAUUUUUUGUGCUCCUACACUCAUUAAAUUCGAGAUGGGAUAUGAUUAUAUAAAAAAUAUAUAAAAUCUGAUAUAAAUCUAGCUAGAAAAGCACCCAGUAAGUCAAAAAGAUAGUUGUGGGCUUUAAUUAGUUUCGAGACAGAACCUACGUCAAUAUGUGUGAUCGAUUGAACCUUCCGUGCACCCACGACUCCUAAAUUCUGGCGGACCUAGGUACAAAUAUUUGGUGCUCCAGUAUCCAUGAAACCUGAUGCAAAUUAGGUAUAAGAAAUGCUUAAAAAUUGGUAUAGGAUGGAUAUAGAAGCAGCCUUGGAAUUAAAUCAAGAAGAAAGUUGGGCGCUUUGAUUUCCAAACGACCCCUAAAAGCUUUCGGUGUCAAUAUGCGUGCUCGAGCCUCGUCGAACACCUGCUCGAUCCCUAAAUCCCGACUCCGCCACUAAUUAUAAUUAUAGUAUAAUUAAUCCGUGAUAUAAUUGGUGUAAUUUGUUGAUAUUAUUAAAUAUUGUGCAGGUGAUGAUCCUCAACAAGUUAAGACAAAGUUGAGGCAUUGGGCGCAGGCAGUGGCUUGUUCCGUCAAGCAGUCUUAUUGAAGGGUGAUUGAUGAUAUAUUCUUUUGUUCUCGAAACGAAAACACCAAGGUUUUGACUAUGUUUUCUACACAAAAAUAUUGAUCUUCCGUUCAUCGUAUCGAUCAAUUCAUACCUCAUAUUUGUCUUUCGAUGAAAUAUAGUCAUGACUUUUGCGGACUGAGAAGAUUCACGCGUCGAAGUGAAACGGAGCUCUACAUAUAUAUAGUUGUAGGCGGGCAAUUUCACAAACUAGUUGUGUCGAUUCUCAAUUUAGUUAAUUGAGGAAACAAGGAUUUAAAUUACAUGCACUGAUAUGUAAAUAUAAUUUUACAUAUACAUUGUCAAUGUAUUUUGACCUUUUAUUGACGAUUGUUUCCCAUUUUUUUUUUUUAAAAGCAUCAGUUGAUAUUUAUAUAGAGACUUGUUUGUAAUUGUAUUUGAUUUGAUAAGGUAAGAAAGGGACUUGUUUUCCCUAUUAUCGAUCACUAUGAUCUGUUGAUGAAAGACCCUAAUCGAUGAUGAACAUCACGAUAAAUAUUUUUUGAUGAUGUAAAAGUUUCUUACAUUGACGUUAUAUAUGAUCUAGCGUUCAAUGAUUAAUGAAAAAACAGUUCUUGGCAAAAAUCUUUCUACCUACAAAACUCUAUUUUAACUUGGUCCAAAGUUAUUGUAAGUCUUUUUCCACUCAUGAUAAUUUAUUUUUUGUUCAUUAUCUGAAUGUGGAUCUGAAUUUCUAAUUAGCUUACUUCAACGUGAAUUGGGUUCAACUGACAUUCCAUACGAGGGGUCAAAUUUAGGGAAUAUCACAUGGUUCCAUAACUUAACUUAUCAUAACUACUUAAAAUUUCAGCUUUUUAAAAUAAUUAAAUAAAUUUUCGAUUCUACUUGAAAGCUUGGAUAAGUCAUAAAUGAAGAAUGUGUUAUCCGCAUAAAAUUAAGUGUUGUAUCCGAAAGAAUGUGAUGUAUAUGUGUAAAAUUAAGUAAUGUAUGUGGAAAAAUGUGAUUUAUCCGUGUGAAAUUUUAUGUAUUCAUAUAAAAUUAGUCAUGUAUUCAAAAGAAUGUGAUGUAUCUAUGUAGCUUCAAUCAAAAUGUUUUAGUAAUUUUGAAAAAAAUGAAACAAGGAGUAAUUAGCUUAAAAAGGUUGGAAUUUGAUUGUUGUAUUUGUUUUCUAAAAAAUACUUUAGUUGUUAUUUAGUAUUAGAGAAAACUUCACACAAGAUUGUCUCUCUCUCUUUUUUUUUUUUGGACCUUAUAACAUUUGAAAUAAAAUGUUUUGACGAAGUGAGUGUUGAAUUUCAAUUUUUUUUAAAACGAAAGUGAAUUCAAAUUUUAAAAAUAGGUUUUGAAAAUAAUGGCAAACCAACAUAUUAUUGUAAAAUGGUUUUUAUCAUUUUUGUGGAUUUUGACAUUUUUUUUUUUUUUGGUAAGUAGAGAUGCAUUAGUAAGGCAAGGCAAAGAAAACAGUUAAGAGCUCAGUCCGGCUCUAGUACACAAAUCAUCUGACACGUUGUUGACGUCCUAGCAUUUGAAACUAACCUAGGGAAGGACUUGCCUUCCAUAUCAUCUCAGACAGUGUGGGCUACAAAAGGGGGGGGGGGCCUAGAUUUUACAAGUGGACCAAAAAUCACGUUUAACUCCUUCCUUUGCCAGUGCAUCUGCAACUUUAUUUUGCUCCCGAUAGUUAUGUUGGACGGGUGAAUUUCCUAAUUUUCUGAGCAUCAACCUGCAACAACAAAGAAAAGGGUUAUACAGUGCAUUGCCAUCUUUCAACAUUUUAAUAACAUCCUCUGAUUUAGUGUUGAUAGUGAGAGGCACAAAGUUGUCUUCAAUAGCAAGUUGAAGGCCUGUGUGAAGGGCUAAGAUUUCCAUAAGAUUGUUCGUAGAGUGAAGAAAACUUUGGGGGUAUCCUUGUACCCAACUAUCAGUAGUGUUUUGGAAAACACCACCUAUACCACCUCGACCAUGGGGUGUCAAACAAGAGCCAUCAGUGUUCAGCUUGAAAUUAUGUCUAGGAGGGGAAAAUCAACGGAUGGAGAUUGGAGUAGGAAGGUGGGGAGUGGGUUUAGGAUUGAGUUGGAAGAAUUCCAGAGCAAGCUUUGAAAGAGGGAGCAGCAGAGCUGUCAUUAAAGGUACUAGAGUUGCUAGCCUUCCAGAUAUUCCAAAGGCAGAAAGGAAGAAGAGUUGCCCUAUUAAGAAGGCUGUCAUAAUUGGAGUGUUUCACAUGGUUCUAGGUUGUAUUCCAGUUGGAGGGGUGGAACAUGCUAGCAGAGAGGGUGCAUGCACCCUUGUAAUGACUGAUAAACUCAUGCCAGAGAGGGUUAGCUUGAGGGCAGUUAACGAAGAGGUGAGGAAUAUCCUCUAAAUGGGAAUUGUAGUGGUGGCAGUUGGGUUGAAUGGGGAGACCUCUGUAAGCAAGGGUGGCAUUGGUGGGGAGGCUCUUGUGGUAAAGAAGCCAAAGGAAAAAAUUGAUUUUGUUAGGGAGUUUGACUUUCCAAAUCCAUCCCAAAGGGGAAUCUUAGAAGUAAGGUACUUAUAAGUAGAUUCGGUAGAGAAGAUAUCAUUGUCAGUAGGGAGCCAAAGAGUAAUGUCAGCCUUUAUUCUAUGAUGGGGUUUAAAGGAGUGUUGAAGGCUGAGUUACAGAGGCUUAGUAAUGUCAAAGGAGAGGGUAGCAAAGUUCCAAGUCCCAUUCUGCCAGUAAAAGGAGAGCUGGAGCCUGGAGAGAAGUACAUGGUUUAUGGAGAGGCCCUUGAAUGAGGUAGCACGGGGGGACGAAUCGAUAUUUGAUGCUUGUUCUUUAUAGUAUACAUGAAAUUUAUGUUUUAAAACUGAGUUUAUUUGAAUAUUUUUUUAGUUGAAUGAGACUAAUUCAUAUAAUUAAAGAACACGGCUUAUUUUGAAAGGUUAACUUAACUACGUAAUUGAUUUUUUAAAACAUGCAAAAAGAAAAAAUAAAAUGAAAGUGUCUAAUAAGAAUACUUUAUCAUGUAUUAAAAUCAUUACUUGAAAUGAGUCGUGACUAAAAUAUUUAAAUAAAAUUUACUAAAUUUGAGCGAUGUUAGUAUACUAAAUCAUCUAACUAAACAUGAAUUAUGAUGGAUCGGAUGACACACAAAAUUUUUUACAAGGAAUAUCAAUACGAUUAUGACAAAACUAAUUCAUGAAAAUAUAAUUCGUCCAUCCUAUUCAAGCUUAAACGAUGUCAUGCUUAUUUAUUAACUUAGCUCGUUUCAAUUCAUUAAAUUCAGCUCGUUUAAAGGUUAACUUUAUAGAGUAUAUUUUAGAAAGACAUUUUUGUUUGACAUGUUAACCCAAGGCCGCCCUUUUUAUUUUUUGGACUUGAGCCCUAAUUAUGUAAAAAAAAAAAAAGAAUUUAUUACUAGAUUGAGUGAAAGUCAAAAAAGGUACCAAACGGGGCCUCUUAAACUCGUGUUACGAUUUCUUUUGCUUGGCAAAACAAAACCCUUGUUUGGUUUGAUCUCACUGUAUUUUUUAUUAUUUUAUGUAUAUUAUACUAUCUUCGUCUCAUUUUAUGUGUUGACAUUUAAUCGGAGAUGAAAUUUAAGAAAUAAGUAAUGACUUUAUAAAAUUUAUAAAAUUGUCCCUUUUAAAGUUAUUUUUAUGUUUACUUUUUUGUUGACUUUUCUUAAUAAAUGAAAUUCACUAAAGAUAAAAUAGAAAUGAUGACAUUAAAUAGUUACCAAAUAAGGAAAGAUGACAUUCGUUUUUAAACCAACCAGAAAGAAAAUGGCGAUACAUAAAAUGGAAUGGAGGGAGUCUAAAAAAGUCAGGGAAGGACGAUUAUGGCUAUGAAAAAUUGUACAAUAUGCCAUACAAAUUGUACUAUGUAUUUUACCUUGUUUUAUUUCAUUACCAAUUACCUUUAACCACAUGUAAUACUAGGGUCCAUUCUCUUUAUAUUAGGACGAUGAUACUUGUUCCUACACAAAUUUAUUCAAAAUGAACAUUUUUACUUAAUUUUUUAUCAGCUGAAUCCCUCAACUCAUCAAACACACAAUAUUUUAAACUUCUGUGACCGUUGACCAAGCUAUAUGACAUUGAAUUGACUGAGUUGGACACAAUGCGUGUAAUCACGCACAGGGUGCGAGUGGAUUUCAUUUUUUAAUUAAAAUAAUUUAAAAAAAUAAAAGAGAAAGGAAAAAAACUUUUCCGCCCCUCACCCCCACACCCAAAACCCAAAUCACCCAAAAACUUUCUUCAUCGCACUAGUACAGCUAGCCCCCUUCCUUUGCACCACAUAAUUACAGUCCAAACCCCACAACCUUUCCUUCUUCCUUCGCACCAUUACAGCAGCCCACCCCCACCCCUUACCCCCAAAAAAAAAACUUUCUUUUUUUCCUUUGUCCCACCACACAAGCAGCUCCUUACCUUUUUCAAAUUAAUAAAAAUACGGAAAGUUCACUUGGCAUGAUCAAUUCGAAUAUGCUUUCCUGGAGAGUUUUUUUUUUUUUUUUUAAUCAUUUUUUCAGUUCAAAACUUUUAUAUAUUUUUAGGAUUAAAAUUUGAACAAGUGAGUGAUAGCGAAUAUUGAAAAAUUAAUGAACUCCAUGGAUAAAUUUGAAAAAGCUUGAAGUUUAAGUUUGAAGGAUAAUAAUUAAUUUUUGUAGAUUUAUUAAAAAUAUUUAAAAUUGAAAAUUCAUUAUGUUCAUGUAUGUGAAUUUAUAGUUAAAAAUUUAAAUUAAUUGGAGAGGAAUUUUAAUUAUUUAAAAUGAAUUUGAUGUUUAAUUUGUGAAGAAACACCAAAUACAUGAUAUUGAAAUUUUUUACAAUUUGUAAAAGUUGUUUAUUUAAUUAAAUUUAUUUAAUAUGUAUUUUCUCAUGUGGCAGUUAAAAAUGACGCGAAAUUUAACAUAAUAUUUAAAAAUGAGGUGGAAGACGGUUGUGUUACACUCACUGAAAUAGGUUUAAAGUAUUGUCUUUUGAUAAAUUAAGGGGUUCAGAUGACAAAAGUCUAAGUGAGAUAUUCGCUUUACAAACUCGGACAAGUUCAAAGAUUCACGAGAUCAUUUUGUCGAAUCUAAAUGCUCAACUAUCAUCAACUUUCUUUUAUGAUCUAUUUUCUUUCACGUUUUUUUUUAUUAUGAAAGUUUGGUUUGUCAUUAUUUUGUACUUUCUUCGAUUCAAAUUGUUUGAUUUGUUUCUUUUUUAUUUCGUUUUAAGAAAAUCUUUUUUCUUUUUAGUAAUAUUCGUAAUUUUAACCUUUCACAUGUCGCAUUCAAGAUUAUAAGAUUAAACAAUAUUUUAGUACAUUUGAGAUGUCUUUUAUUUAAUAUCAUAAUAUUCAAUUUAUUUUUUUUAAUUUUACAAUUUCGUGCAAAAUUAAAGUAGACCAAAUAAACUGAAACAAAUAAAGUAUUAACAGAAUGGUACAUUUCUAUAAGAAAAAAUAUACAAAAUUUAUAGAUGUUAAAUUGUGCUUCUGGAUAUGUAUAUAUGUAUUUUCAAAAUUCAAAGUUUCUAAAAUUAUGUUUUAGCCAAAAGGUUAGUUUCAUAAGCUUCUAAUAAUUAUAACAAACUUAUAAAAAUUUUUGAAAUUAAUUUAUAACCAUUACGGAUUUUAUGUCAUACCAAAGUUGAAUUCCUUAUUUAAAAUUUAGUCCAUUAUAUAAUAUAAGAUUAUUGAUGAGUAAAGUUUUAAAUUAUGAUUUGAGAUUACUUUUAAUUAAAAUAUUGCAAUGAGAUAAUAAAUUACAACCAGAUUGAAGGAAACAAUUGACGACACAUUUAGUUCAUACUUAGAGAAAAAGAGUUUAAUUAGUUUGUGCUAUUUAUUUCUCUGUUUUCUAAUUUGAUAUUGAGUUUUAACAAAUUAAAAGGGACUUUUGAAUCUUAUAUUCAUAGGGUAAAAAUAAGUAUAAUGUAUCAAAAUGUUCUUCGAGUUGAUUUAAAAAUUUGUCAAAAAUGAACAAACAUUCUCCUUUCAAAUGAAUCGAAACAGAUGGAGUACUAUAUUAACUGUAAAAUAAUAAAAAAAGAUAUAAAUAAAUGAUGAAAAAGUAAUAUUUAAUUUUAAAACUUUAUAUACUAAAAAUAAUUCUAAAACUAUAAUUUAUUUAAUUUAAUUGGUACCUUUGUUCAUUAUUACAUGAAGACGUUAUAAUCUAUACACGAAGAUAUAUAUAUAUAUAUAACACAUUUACAAUCUUUAAAAUAAAUUAUAUUGUUUUGAUAUAGUAUAUUCUCUCAUCAAGUAUAUAAAUCAUUUUCAAAUGGAUCGAAACAGAUGGAGUAUUAUAUUAACUAUAAAAUAAUAAAAAAAGAUAUUAAUAAAUGAUGAAAAAGUAAUAUUUAAUUUUAAAACUUUAUAUACUAAAGAUAAUUCUAAAACUAUAAUUUAUUUAAUUUAAUUGGUACCCUUGUUCAUUAUUUUAUCAAGACAUUAUAAUCUAUACACGUAGCUAUAUAUAUAUAUAAUACAUUUACAAUCUUUAAAAUAAAUUAUAUUGUUUUGAAAUAGUACAUUCUCUCACCAAGUAUAUAAAUUAUUUUUUUUUAAAUCUAAAUUAUUCUCUUGAUUUUAUAGUAUUUAAAUAAGAUGAGAAACAAUAACUUUUUUUAUUAUUUUUAUUACUUUGUAAAAACUGAUAUGAUUAAUUUUAACUUUUAUCAUAUAGGUUGAAUUUCAUUCACUAAAUUCGUGCAAAAUAAAUUUAAGUGUAUUCAAAACAAAUUUAUAGAUGGAUAUUUUUUAUUUUUUGGUUGUUUGGUAUGAUUCUAUAAAAGAAUAUUAAUUUAAUUGACACUAGCAUUAUUUUUGAUUAUGCUAAUUCGAAAAUAUUGAUCAUCAUUUAAAAAGCUAAUUAAAUACUUAUAAAUAGAUUUAAGAUAUUAAUAUUGGACCGUAAAACGGUCCAUUCGUUAUCUAGUAAGCACUAGGGGCUCGUUUGAUAGAGUAUAAGAUAAUACUAAAUAAGGGGUAUUAGUAAUGUUGGGAUUUGUUGGGUUCGAAAUCGAGAAGGCGUCGUGCGGAAGUUAUUAGUUGCAAACUAUGAGACGAUAAAUUAGACGACAAAAAAAACAUAAUACUAAAAAGCAUUAAAUUAUUAUAUGUUUUGGUCAAUCGGCCUACAUAUUAUAAAACCUAAUAUCGAAAAACAUUAAACCUAUUGAAAAAAAAAAAUUCAAUAAACAAAGACUCUUUAAUGACUACAUUGUGGAUACUAUUAUGUUAUGACUUGAGAAGAUGGUUGUUCUAUUUAUAGAGUUACAAAACCCUUUUUCUAAGAAAGAGUAAACCUAAUAGAAAUCUUAUAGGAGAGAAAUUUUUUCCUACUAGUAAACCUUUUCUUACUGAGAAAUCCUUUCCUAAGUAAAACACAAUUAUGGUAGAAUUCAAGUUAAGGUAAGAAAUUCAGGACAAAUCCUAACAAAUCUCCCCUUGGCCUGAAUUUUCUGGCAAGAUUGAUCAUCAUCUUUUUCUUCGUGUAAACUUCAUAACUGCUACUUGUCAUGGUUAAAAAUAAAGUUUAAAAUAUUAUAGGUUAAAAAGAGGUUAAAAAUAUCUUAUUUUUAUUUUUAAAGAUGUAGCAGCAGUAAUGUUGAAAAUAUGCUUUAAGCUCCUUCUCCACAUGUAGCUAGACAAAAAUCUUCAUUAUCGCCAAACUGUUGCAGCAUGAUUUUGAAACCUCUUUGAACCUGUUUAAUCUCGUCUCACCACACCAUUGGACAAUUGAACCAUAAGCUCUGAUACCACUUGUUGGGUUUGAAAUCGAGAGGGCAUCAUGCAGAAGCUUAAUGUUUGCAAACCAAGACGGUGAUAAUUCAGAUGACAAAUAAAAAUAUACUAAAACAUAAUAGUAUUGAUAAAAUUUGGCCAAUUGGCCUACACAUAAAAACUAAUAAUAAAAAAAAUAUAAAACUAUUGGGAGAAAAUCUCCCCUAAAUAAAAUUCUUAAGCGACUAUAUUGUGGAUGCUACUGUGUUAUGGUGUGAGAAGAGAGUCUAUUUAAAGAGUUCCAAAACCUUUCCUCCAAGAAAUAGGUUUACCAAAUAUGGAAAGUUUUUAUAUUUUCCUUUCAAAAAAUUAAAAGUAAUUAUGGUAUUACUUUUAUUUUCUUUGAAAAAAUAAAACUUAAAUUUGCUAAUAAAAUCAGGUAAAAACCCUGGAUUAGUAGUAUUGGGAUUAGUAAUACUGGAUUAGUAAUGUUGAGAUUAUUUUUUUAUGCAGUGUUUGGUUUGAUUUAUUGAAAACAGUAUGUAUUGUUAUAUUUUAAAAAGUGAAUACAUAAUUACACCACUGAUCUUGUCCGAAUUUUUCAAAAAGACACCUAAACUUUAACUUCGACCUAUUACCCCACGAAUCUUCUUUAUUUCGUUGCAAAUACACUAUUUUAACCCUCUACGUAUAUACACGCGCCACGUGAAAAGGCAAAAAUUGACUUUUUUGACCAAUUAAAAGCUGCCCCCACUCAUCCACCAUUGUCUUCUUUCCCAACUUCUUUUUCAUCAUCAUAACUCAACAACAACAUUAAUUACAACAACAACAUCAGUUACAACAACAACAUUAACUACAACAACAUCAAUUAAAGCAACAACAACAACAUCAUCAUCACCAUAAUUUUAAAAAGGAAAAUUAAUGUACAAUAUUCAUUUUAAUGAAGCUUUAGGCUCCAUUUUAAUUGAGGGAACUAGAUGGAGAUUGUACAGGAGCUUUAAGCUCCAUUUUAAUGGAGGAAACUGGACGCGGGGGAGAGGUGGGAGCUCUUGAACCUAGACGCGUGGGGGGAGAGAGAGCUGUUGGACGUGGGGUGGGGUGGGGAAAGAGGGGGGGUGAUAAAUUAAAUAAAAAGAAAAAAAAUAUUAAAAAAAUAAAUAAAAUAGGAAAUUAAAAAUAUUUGACAUGUGGCAGCACCUGAUUGAUGCGUGCAUUCACUUUCUUUAUUGUGACUGAGAUUCAGCCAAAAAUGGUGUAUUUGCAAUGAAAUAAAGAAGAAUCGUGGGGUAAUAGGUCGAAGUUAAAGUUUAGGUGUCUUUUUGCAAAACUCGGUCAAGAUCAGGGGGUAAUUAUGUAUUUACUCUAUUUUAAAAAGAAUAUUGUUUGUUUGUAAAAAUACCCUCGACAACAAUAACUUUGUAUAUUUAUUUUACAAAGCUUCACUAUUCUUUUCUAAAAAUAAAAAAAAUCAACAAUAUAACUAAAUUAAAUAAUAACUUACUUUGAAAUUUUAAGAUUUAAUCAUUCACUUGUAAGAUUUUUUUUCUUUAUUAUCUUUUCUUUAUUUGUUCAUCAUUUUCAUUUGUUUGUUGUUCCCACUUUGUGGUGUUCUUAAGUUGGAGGGGGUACGUAUAACUUUUGAAUUAGACAAUUGAAUCAUUUUUAACAUAAAAUUAUGUUUCAUAAAGUGUUAAAUAUAAGCAAAAAAACUAUUUUUAUUUGUGAUAUAUUUUAUUUACAAAAUUAAAGCUUUACGCAAUCAUGCAAUUUGUUUUCGGGCUUUGACCAAUAAGUAUUUUUUAAGUUAAUCGAGUAAUUUUUUUAUGAUUGAAAUUAUUUGAAGGAAUAUUAUCAUCCUGAAAAUAAAAAAGAAAUAACUCACAUUGAAUAAAUUAGAAAACAUUUAAGGAAAUUUUUAUCUUUAUUCAUAUUUAUUCAUGAAUUAUAAUCCAUGUAUUACUAAUCCCAUCAAAUUUAAUGUAUCAAUUAUACAUGAUAUAAAAAAUAUCAUGUAAGAUAUAUAAUUAAUCCAUAUAUUAGUUACUAUACAUUAUUCGCUAUUUGCUAUCAAACAUUGUAAUUAAUUUAUGGGUAAAAUUCAGAAGUAGCAUACUUAAGAGCCUAAUUGUUAUUUUUAUAGCAACAAUUUCAUAAUUACAUUUUAUAGCAACUUAUAUUUUGUAUUUUUCAAAAAUGUUGCUGUAAAAAUACAUCUAUAAUAAAUUUACUGCACUUAAUUAACUGAAAUUAGUUGAGCUAUAUAUGGUAUAAUUACCAAUCAAGUAAAUAUGUAGAUUCCUUUUCCAUUUAAAACUCUUAAAAAAUGUGACUUCCGUCAUAUCUUCAGAAUUCAAAUUUCAGUUUUUCCCCAUUAACAACUGCAUCUUUUCUUAGCAAUUUGUUCUAAACCAACCCUGUUUUUGGAAAUUCAAGCAUUGUUGUUGCUGAAUCAAAUUGGACUGAUUCUUCUUCGAAAUCAACAGCAAUUGCUAAACGAUGCAGUAAUUUGUUUAAAUCAAAUUCAACCCACCUUUACCUCAAAUCCCUACUACACACUCGAUCUUUAAAGGUGACCUAUUACCCCCUGAACUAUUUUAAAGUGGAAUUAUUAAACCCCCCAAAACUGACAACCAGUCAUUGCAAAUAUGGUGUGAUGCACGUGCAGCCACGUCAUUUUUUAUUUUUUUACUCUAAAAAAAAUAAUAAUUUAACAUUACUAUUUCCCAAUUAUUAUUUUUCUUUCUUUUUCUUCUUCUUCAAUUCUUCUUCUUUAUUUUUUCUUUUUCAAUUCUUCUUCUUCUCCAAUUCUUCUUCUUCUUCAAUGCUAUCCAAGAACCCAUCAAUGGCAAUUAUUAUUUUUCUUUCUUUUUCUUCAAUUCUUCUUCUUCAUUUCUUCUUUUUAGUUCUUCUUCUUCAAUUCUUCUUCUUCUUCAAUUCUUCUUCUUCAAUGGCAUCCAAGAACCCAUCAAUGGCAUUUCUUCAUCAAUAGCAUUCAAGAACUCAUCAAUGGCAUUCAAGAUUAAUUUAUCAUCUUCAUCAUCUCCUCAUUCAAGAAUUCAAGUUUUUAAAUUUUUUCAAGUUAAUUCGGGUUCAAUGAUAUUUCUUCUUCAAUAGCAUCCAAGAACUAAUCAAUGGCAUUCAAGAUUAAUUUAUCAUCUUCCUUGUUUUGCGAAAAAAUUGACUUUUGAAAGAGAGUCGCCACUUAAUUUUGAAAAGGAAUUAAGAAACCUUUAGAGAGUUACUUCAAACGAUUCAAAACAGAAAAAUCAUUUUAAGUUAGAGAUUCUAGAUAAGCGGUUUCUAUUAACGUUUUAGGAAGGUGUUAGGCACCUAAAACGCCCGCUAACUUGCAGUUAUCCGGACUGUCUGAAAACGUCUUUUGACUAACUUUAGAAAAUAGAUUGGUUUUUGAAAAGAAAGCGAUUUUAGAAAUAUUUUGGUGUUUAUGAAAAAACAAUUUUAGUGACUUAGUUAGGGAUUUUAACUAGGUUCGCAAGAAAACACAUAAAGCAAAUUAGCAAAAGUAAAAGGGAAAGGGUAGAAGCAUAAGGACUUGAGCCAUUAAGCCCAAAUUGACAACCCUGUCCUAACCUAGAUAUUGGGCAUUCAGCCCGUUGGCUUCGAGGCCCAAAUGAAUAGAUAAGAAAAUAAAUAAAUAAAUAAAUACAUAAAUAAAGACGACAAUGAAGACAUGGACGAAACAACAAGUGAGAUAUUGAAUCUCUUAGCCGCUUCAAAAUGGGUUAUUAGCCCGUGCUUCUCUUUUCAUCUCAUCGCAUCCAAUAGGCCAUAAGAUCGAUGUUUGGGCUUUGUUCAAUGCGGUUGUCAUAAAGAUGCCGGGCCCUAAUGACCCAUGAAGAAAAUGCUAGGGGGGCAGAUGAGUUCGUUUUGGACUUAAAGUGCACAGUGCAUGCAAAAGAAUAAAUAAGGAUUAGAAAUGGAAAAGCACAAGUCCGUAUAAAAAUAUGCACUUUGGCAAAAUAUAAGCAAAAAUAUUGUAAUAAAGUUUAGCAAAGAGAAACCACUGCAUCACAUAUAACCAUUUUCAGUUAAGCAACUAAGGGAACCCAAAUUUCAAAAAGGAGUCUUCAUAAUAUAAGGCAAACAACUGAGGCAUAAUGAUGUCAACUUUAUUAAAAGGAUUUAGGAUAACCAAACUUGUCACUGGAUUUCCAAAUCAAACAAAGAAACUUAUUCUAUUUGCAACUUCUUUUCCUUUUAUUAUUAUUAUUAUUAUUUGAACUAUAUAUAUAGUACCUAGGCAUGCCAGAUAGCUGCAGACAAGAACCUACACGCAGGUUUAGGGAGAGAAGGUAAUAAAACACGCACGCAUCAUUCGAUGAUUGAAAAUUGCCUUACAGAACUCUUAGAGCUCUAGGCAAAUGAACCCAAAAUUGAAUCAAAAAUACAGAAGCAAGAGGGAUAGCAACUUGAAUAGGUUGUUUCUGCUAGACCCUCGACUCAAAAAUAAAAUGAUUUAGACAUGAGACGGCAAGAUACGAUAUGCUCAACACGUCCAAUAAAAUCAUAAACCAAAUACCCCAAGUAAUGCAACAAAAGAAAUAACAUCCUACUCAUAACUUAAGCUAUGCAACCUGCUAAAAAAAUAUAAGAUUAAAGAUAAGAAAUUUAUUCUAUUUUUAUUAAAAAAAUGGUGACAUCUAGGUAAAUAAUGGAUGGCCAAAGCAGCAUGUGAAAUAAACAACAAUGAAUAAAUAACUAAACAGCGAGUUCAAGGUUUAAGCAAAAGCUUGCAAAACCGAGGAAAGCGAAAAAAAAGCUAAAGUCAGGGGUCAAAUGAUUAUAACGACAAUCAGCCUAGCGUAGCAAGACUUUAGAUGCAAAAGAUGAAAAUUUCAAGCGAAAAGCAAAGUCUUGAUGAUGUAUACGUUGAUUCGUGCCACGAACUCUCAGGUAAACCACCACAUCGGUUUAGUACAGUAUGUUUAACAGGGUUACAUUAAAAUUAUGUCUUGAACACUGCUUCAGGGAAAUGGCACAACAACAGUCAAAAUACAACCCCUGAAGCCAUCAUAGCCAAAUGCAGCAGAUAGAUCCCAGCCUCAUUCAUGACAAACACAUAACUACUUUUAUGGGAAAAAGAGAAAAGGGAUGAAGCAGAAAGUGAUGAGUUUAAAAGGAAAAAAAUAUGCUCACCUCCUCUAGGGCAGCAAAAUGAGGACCCAAGCUAUCAGUCAAAUUUGCUACCACCGGGAAACAACCCUUCGGGAAAUUUUGACUCAAAUUGAUAGUUUCAAAAAUUUUUCUAGCUAAAUCUACAUUUCCACAGUUGUCAUGUUUACUCAACUAAGAAAAGACAUGUACUGAUUUUUGCUCUAAAAAUGGAUUUUUCCACUUCAAAACCUUUAUGGCAACUGGUGAAAUUUUUUCUCUUUAAGACUCCCCUCAAAAUUUCAAGAAAAACACCCUAAACGAAAGAAAAUGAAAAGAAAAAUCUCCUAGAAAGAAAAGAAGAACCCCCCCCCCCUUUUCUCGACCCAAAAUUUCAAAACUUAUAGAAUAUGGUGACCUCUUAUUCCUCUAGUCCCCAAUUUCUGAACCUCUUAAAAUUCAACCCCUAGCUAGUGACUCCUAUUUCCUCCUAUAUAGAGGAUGGAACCAGGGUAUUUUUGGGAUCCCCAAAAAAAGAAACCCUAGGGUUUAACAUUUGAAAAUCCUUUCCCUCCCGCCGUCUCAUUUUUGAACCUGCACCGUACCAAAAUUUGGAUUUUUCCCACAAAACGGAAUAGGUGGACCGAUUGAAAAAGGGGAAUUCAUACCAUGGUACCCGAGAUUCGCGAAAUAUGGACGUUGGAUGAGACACCUAGGCUUGCUUCUAGAAGAUUCAAGGGUUUUCCCGUACUAUGAAUGCGUGAAAUGCGCGGGUACAAUUGGGUCGAGUCGUUUUGCAGAUAUUUAGGUCAUGUGGAAUUUGAUUUGUGUUGAAAGAGGGUUGGUUCAACCAUGGGUUUCCAUAUUCGGGUGGAGAAGGGGUCGAGGUCGGGUUGACGGCGGUUUAAGGUUUGGCUUUGGUUGAGGGUUUCUCAUGUUUGAAAAAGAAAAGGGGUCUUUAAAGAGCUGGGCCGGGUUGGUUUUGUAUGGAUUGGGCUCCUUUUAAAAUGGCUGGUGGGUAGGUAAUUAUUGUUGUUGGCCUGAUGGAAUCAUUUAAGACAUAGCCUCAAUUAGGAUUAGGUUUAAACUAUUUAAUAAAUAGCCUAUUGAUAAAUACUUUAGUCAAUUGUAUUUAAACUUUGACUUAAUUAAAGAUUAACCGGCCAAUUGUAUUGUAAUUGUAGCCAAAUCAACUUCAAUUAAAUCUAGUUUAAUACAUUGACCAAAUUGAGUCAAGAUUGAAAACGAAUUUAGCAACUAGCUUAAUCCCGAGCUUCUUUGAUUUGAUAAAAUUAAGUAAGCAUUUCUCUGAAUAAGCCAUUUUUGAAAUAGAUCAUUUUCAAAUCACGAUUUUAAUUAGUGUGUUUAGUUUCAAAAUAAUUUUUAAUUAAAAUCCGAUAUUUUAUAGAGUAAACAUUUAAGUAAUCCAAUUGUAUAAUAUCGCAUAAUUGAGCAUGAUAAUAUAUAAUUGCUACCUAAGGUAAUAAAAUCACGUACAAAUACACCUUUCAAAACUCUUAUUCGCAGGAAAUAAAUAUCUCGAUUUUAUUAAAAAUUGAAGAAACUCAGGAUUAAGUUUAGUCGCGGAGUGCAAAAAUUAGGUGUCAACAACUGCCCCCUCCCUUUGGGUAGGGUGGAUGCAAGUAAUCCUGGGCAAAGGGAGGUUGACGUUCCUAAUUUUUGUUCGAUCAUAAAUUUGUGUCUAAGAGAGGUUGGUUUUUCGCACGAGUUUCAUGGAGUUAUGAUCGAACCUCGGUAUCAGGUUUCCUACAUAUCUCAGCUUUUAUGAGAAUUCAGGCCACUUGUAGUUCAUAAAGCUUGAUUUUAAGCGUGAUUUUUAAAAAAUUCACAAGUUAUCUCGAUUUUAGAGUUUUUGAUAAAUUCGAGAAAUUGGGGAAUAGAGGGAUUAGGGGGGAGGUUGGAAUGCAGUCGAGUUUUAUACAUAGAUCCUAGGCUACAUAUCCCUGAGACUCAGGGAAUCAGACUGCUUAUAGUUCGACUCAAUCGGUAGAAAAAAUAGUCUUUUAUUUCAGACGAUCUUUGGCUUAAGAUGGGUGACAAGUCGAUCAGUUGCAGAAAAGAGGUUUGUAACCUUUUAACCAUGAACGUGGAGCUUUUCACAUCCAUAGGUAAGAACUUACCCAGACAUAAUUUCCAAAACUCUAAGUGUGUUGUCACCUGAAUUUGAAAGAAAAAAGAAAAAGAAAGUUCCUCUCAGUAUGAGUUAACAAACAUCCUAGAGGUAAAGGUGAGACCAGAAUAUCCCAAAAUAUCCACAUGCCUUCUAAUAGAAGAGUGGUUAGAUGGUAGUGGUGAUCAUUAUUUAGCUCCCGUCUAGAGAGUUUGACAUCUCUCUCCAUACUAUGUCCCGUUUUGCUGCUGAGAAAGAGUUCCACGUCGUGCUGCGUUCUUUUUGGAGUCGUCCGCACCUGUGGUUUUGAUUUGAGAUUUUCAUCCUUUCGGAUGCUCUUGAUAAUUUCUCAAGCAAAAAGUGUUAGUACUAACAUAAUUCAUGAAAGAUGUAGGUAGUCUUUUACCAUAUCUCCGUGUGAGUUGUGGCCUGAAAAGCGGAGUCAUCUCUUCAUGUACCUGUUUGGAAUGAAAUAAAUGGAAACAACAAACACAACAACCCUCUUGGUUGUUGUAUUAUAUGACAUUUAUCGAUUGAAUCUGUCUUCAAGGUGGGGUGACCCUUUUGGACACCGGCGAUACUUUUUGCAGAACGGUCUCUACAAUCGUGUAAUCUUGUGCUUGAGUGGCAACCCUUUUGGUU
rnacentral:lncRNA from 1 species